rnacentral:rRNA from 1 species
CCUACGGGUGGCAGCAGUGAGGAAUAUUGGUCAAUGGACGCAAGUCUGAACCAGCCAAGUAGCGUGCAGGAUGACGGCCCUAUGGGUUGUAAACUGCUUUUAUGUGGGAAUAAAGUGGUGCACGUGUGCGCCAUUGCAUGUACCUCAUGAAUAAGGACCGGCUAAUUCCGUGCCAGCAGCCGCGGUAAUACGGAAGGUCCGGGCGUUAUCCGGAUUUAUUGGGUUUAAAGGGAGUGUAGGCGGUCUGUUAAGCGUGUUGUGAAAUUUAGGUGCUCAACAUUUAACUUGCAGCGCGAACUGUCAGACUUGAGUACACGCAGCGCAGGCGGAAUUCAUGGUGUAGCGGUGAAAUGCUUAGAUAUCAUGAGGAACUCCGAUCGCGAAGGCAGCCUGCGGGAGUGUUACUGACGCUUAAGCUCGAAGGUGCGGGUAUCGAACAGGAUUAGAUACCCGAGUAGUC